GACACUCGAGUCCGCCUCCCCCACCCCGCCCGCUCCGAGCGCUCCUCCCCUCCCCACGCGGCGAGGGGGGGGCGGCACCGCCAGUCACCGCCACGCCUGUCAAACCCUGGCCGGCUAUUUAUACCUCGCGGGGUUCUGCCGCCUUCGGCCCCCACCAGCCCGCCCAACAUGCCUCGGUGGCUCUCCCGAAUCUCGCCCGGCCGGUAGCCCUCAACUUCUCUGAAACCCGCCUUCUCAGAUGAGCACCUGAGGUUAAAUUUCUUCCCCAAGAUCAAGAUUCGAACCCAGAAAGUUUAGUCCGGAUUCAAAAGCUGCGCUGGAAAGGUUCCCUACUUUCAGUCUCCAGGAAUUUCGGGCGUCUUCCUGGCCACUCUCCCCGAUUUCUCCACGCAUCCCCAAUCUCAGGCCUCUGCUGCCCGGGGUUGAGUUUGGCCCACCAAGGGCAGGCGGGUUCCAGGGCGCCCGUGCAAUCCGCGCGCGAGGCACCUGUCCUCCCUCCUCAGGUUUGGACGCCGGGAGAGGCUCCCGGACCCGCGCCUAACACUCACCAUCCUUCCGGAGCGGCGCAGAGCCUGGGGGCGCCCUCAGAGGCAGCGCUAGGGUCUUGGAGACCGCUCUGCGGAGAUACAUCGUGCCAGCUGCCCGCCGCGCAGCAGCCUCUGUAACCCCGCGCCGGCUGCGGGGCGACGGGAGUCCGGGCGAGCCCCGCCCCGGGGAGGGGCGCCGACCCCUGCCCGCCCCGUCCGGGCGUUCCCGGGGACGUGCGUAGGGGUUGGUCGUCCCCACCAUUCUCACACAACCCAAUCUCUAGACUCUUGUUGAUUUCUGCGUGAUCCAAGAAGCUGAUGGUGGCAUCUCAGCAAAGGGAUGCGGAACCAAGACGUCCCCGUCACCUGCCUGCUCUGUACUGUUCCAUUUAGUGGAACUCCUCAGAGCGGGCUGGAAAUGUUUCAGGACUUGCAGACAUGGUUUAUCACGCCGUAUGAAAUCUGCACUCACUUUAUCUCAUGCACACCGUUAAGGUUUCUUGGGAGUGGAAAGGAUAGCUGGAAGUUUCCUGGAGAUGAAACAAGGAGAGGGGUAGCCUUAGCCUUCCAUUGUUGCUCUGGGUGAUGUUCAGAAUCAUAAGGGACCCAGGUAAUGAUUGAAUGUCUAGGCAAUUGACUGCUACAAUGGCUUUUGGCUUUUGAAACUCCAUAAAUGCUGUAUAUUCCUCUAUGGGAUGUGAAACUAGUAUUUCCAAAUCAACUAAAAACGCUAAAUUAUUAGUUUUUCCCUCCAGAUUUCAAUUACUUGCCUCAUUGUGGCUACAAGAAUUUGUCGUGGUUUGAAUAUGGAAACCAGUAAUUUAUAUUUAUAACAUUUUCUAAAUGAUUAAUCUUUGGAAGGGACUGUUUGCUACUGUAACAGUCCCUUAUGUGUGCUUGGCAUUUGACAGUUUACAAAGUACUUUCGCACAAAUUUUCUCCUUUAAUUUUCACUUCAAUCCUCUGAGGGAGGUGGCAUUUAUUCCGUUUAGCAAACGACAGGUGGUGGAGAGGAAUGUUCAGGGACUGAUGGUCAUGAUUUUUUUUUUAAAGAACAUGAACAUAGUUCUUCUAAUUCCAAGUUCUCUUGGCAUGUUACAGGCAAAAUAUUUGCUCAUUUGCCAUGUGAAUAACUAAACAUCCCUCAAAGGCUUCAGUUCUGAACCAGUUCUUGUGAUAUUUAACAUAGUCUCAUUUAAUGAGUACAAGCCAAUGGUCAGAACUGGCUUUCUGAUGCUUAGAGUAACUAGCUAUUCCUAGUGAUUAAACCUUAAGAGCAUUUAGGUCAUCUUUAGGUAAUGAGAGGUCAAAUUUAGACUUCCAAGCCCCAAAGAAGGGGACAGACCCAGACCCUCCACCAAGAAGUUAGGUAGUCCUGAAAGCAACAAAAUAUAGGUUAGCACACUUGCUGCCUUUGACCAGCAUCAAGUAUACAUCGUCCAGCAACUAGUGAUUACCUAUCUCACUGGUAGUAUAGACUGUUUAGUGAACUUCUAGCAGUUAGGACAAAUUGACAAAUCAAAUCAAAUCUGUCACGAGAGCUCCUAACCACUUCCAAUUUGGCACUGCUCAAUUUAAAAUUAAAAAAGAAAACAAAUCUGUCUACCACUAUGGCUCAUCCUUUCCUUGGUAUUCUUAGGGCUGAAUUUUGAUUUGUUUGCCAGGAAGAGGGAAUGGUCAAAGGCAGUAAAUGCAUUUAAAUUAAUUGAAUUAAUGCAUCCAUUACACUCAUUUAAUGUGUUGGAAGCUCCUAGAAAAAGGAUUCUUUCUAAGUAAACAUUUGUAAAUGAUAAUGAACAUUUGUAAAAACUCCUAGAUCACUGCUCUGGACUCCUCUAAGAAUUCCAAAGUAGACUCCGGAUCUGGGUUUGGUCUGAGCUCUUCUGGAUCAUCCCCAGGUUCCACAGCAGCCACUUACUAUCAGUCAGUCAAACUGUCUAUAAGUAUCUGUCAAAAUGCCUGUAAUAUGCUAGGGAUCAUGCUAGAUGCUAGGGACUGGUUAUAAUUUAUUUCACAAGUAUUUAUCAAGUAUCUAUUACUACUGUUCCAGGGCUUGCUUCAAUGAACUAGAUAUGAUUUUUGCUACCACUCCUAGAGGUUAUAUUUUCAGGUUAAAGAGACAUGGAACCAACAUCUUUUCUCAGGAGGAGUGUUGGGCUACCAUCAACAGGGUCAAUGAUCACAAAGAAAUCUCUGACCAGACACCAAUGAUAAAUGUAGUCUAAGAGCUUUGGUUAAAGCCAAACUGGUUUAAACAAUGCAAACCAACUAAUCAAAACAAUGCAAACAUAACACACAUGCAUAUAGGGCUUUAAAAACGUUUCCCAAAGAUAUUGUCACAUCUAUCUUUGUACUUUAUCCUCUAAACAAAUCUUAAGGAGUAGGUGGAGGAAUAUUGACUAUCCUUAUAUUACACAUGAAAAAAAAAUCGAGGUAGUGUAAUACUGUGGUUAAGAGCCUGAGUUUCAGAGUCAGAUACUUGGUCUGAUUUAUUGAUAUGAAUAAAAUGUGGAUAAUUCCUUUAUUCAUAGGGUUUCUGUAAGUUCUAAAGCACAUUAGGUAUAAAACAUGCUCAACUAGUUGGAGGAGGCAGUCCUAAAUUCUGACUAAGCCCAAGCUCACGGCUCCCAUACAAUGAUCUGAUGCCUUUCAGUGCACACAUGACAGGAUCCGUUGUAUUUCACCAUCUUAUCAUAUGGUAACGUCCUGUGAAGACUCGAUUACGUCCUCUCGGAUGUAGCCAUCCCAGCCAGGAGAGGCAAGAACUGUGAGAUAAACAGUGCCACAUCUCUGAAUCCCUUUUCAUCCUAGUUAAAAGCUCGUGCCUCUUGGAUCAAAGGGAAUUUGCCACUUACUCUACUGCUCCUGUAGGAUAUGUGGCUUUCCAUUUUGAUGGCAAACUCCUCUCACAUCUUUUUUGUUUGCUUUAUGAAGGGGAGGUGAUUAGGUUUAUUUAUUUAUUAUAUUUGGAGGAGGUACUAGGGAUUGAACCCAGGACCCUGUGCAUACUAAGCAUGUGCUCUACCACUUGAGCUACACCCUUCACCCUUAUCACAUCUUACUGAGACAGUUCCCAAGAGACAACAUGCCUGUGGGUUGUCAAGUUCAGUUUCUCCCCAACCAAGAGAAUUUUAACAGUAGAUCUUGGCUAUAAAAGACUCUGUAACGCUCAGACAGUAGUUUCCCAGCUGUUAGUCACGUUGUUUAUAACACUGCCCUUGAGCACAUCCUUAACAUUUUUCUUGGUCUUGUUGGGAAAACAAGAAUCUAGGGUCAGAGAUGACCUAUCUAAGAUGAUCUCCACCUAAUUGUGAUUGUUGACAAAGAUGAUACUAGUUUUGAAACAUAUUGUAAGAAUCCUCUGCUAGCAAUAUUAAUCAUACUUAUUCAAGGCUUAAGUUCCAUAUAAUUAAAAGCAAUUUUCAAAGACUGAAUGAUUUCAUAGGCUCCACAGAAAGCUACAAAUAGUUUUGUUUUUCUUAAUACUAAAUUCCUAGGCUACAUAACCUGAACUUUCAACAGAUCAACAUGGAUAUAAAGUGAAACAAUUUAGAAGAGUAUCUAGGAAGACAAAUUUGCAAGCAAUUAAUAAAGUCCUGAUAACCACCCUUUUGAUGGCCUAAAGUAUUUAGAUUAAAUGAAGGGGAAAGGGUAAUCAAGAUGGUAAAUUCUUUAAGUGUUCUUGGAGGUCCCUCAGUACUCUUCCCAUCUAUUCACAUUCUCUUCUGUGGUAAAAUAAACAUGACAUGACUAUUUUCCUAAGGCUACCAUAACAAGUUACUCACACUUGGAUGGCUUAAAACAAAAUUUAUUCUCUUACCAUUCUACAGGCUAGAAGUCUGAAAUCAAAGUGUGGGCAGGACCAUGCCUGCCCUGAAACCCGUAGGCAAGAAUCCCUCCUUGCCUCUUCUAGCUUUGGAUGUUUACUGGUAAUCCUUCCCUUGCAGACGCGUCACUCCAACCUCUGCCUCCAUCAUCAUGUGGCUGUCUCCUCUGUGUGUGUCUGUUUCUUUUUGUCUCGUAAGUGUACCAGUCAUACUGGAUUAAGGGCCCCCUACUCCAGUAUACUCAUCUUAACUCAUUACAUCUGCAAAUACCCUAUUUCCAAAUAAGGUUACAUCCUGAGAUACUGGGGGUUAGGACUUCCACAUCUUUUGAGUGGUCAAAAUUCAACCCCUAACAACUUCUUAUACUUGAAGCUGAGUUCAUAUAGCUUGUUUUUUGCUAUGGCAAUUUAAGAACAUAAUUUAAAUGACUAUUUCACAGAUACUAAAUCUGAAAAAAGUUCUGAUUUUAUCUCUAAUAAAAAACUUGAUGGCAUUUGA